rnacentral:rRNA from 1 species
CAGCAGCCGCGGGAAUACGUAUGUCACAAGCGUUAUCCGGAUUUAUUGGGCGUAAAGCGCGUCUAGGUGGUUAUGUAAGUCUGAUGUGAAAAUGCAGGGCUCAACUCUGUAUUGCGUUGGAAACUGUGUAACUAGAGUACUGGAGAGGUAAGCGGAACUACAAGUGUAGAGGUGAAAUUCGUAGAUAUUUGUAGGAAUGCCGAUGGGGAAGCCAGCUUACUGGACAGAUACUGACGCUGAAGCGCGAAAGCGUGGGUAGCAAACAGGAUUAGAUACCCCUGUAGUCCCUGUCUCUUAUACA